AAUCCAUAGCUGCUUCUCCAGUGAAUCACAAUUGGUUCAUUGUGACAGUCCAUGUCAUGUAGCUUCUGGGAAACUCCCCACUCCACCCCAGAGAGAAUGAGAGUGAAGAGGACAAGUAAUAUCUUAAUCAUCUCAGUAUCUGGAAGACAACAGUUUUGGCCUUGAAGGCCCCACCCACCACUGGGUCUAGGGACCUCCCAGGAGUCCUCAUGCCACAUUUUGAGAAUCACAGCUCUGCACAAUCUUCAGGAUCAAUGACACCUACAUCUAGGCCGUGGUGAAAUGAGAAGUAACGGAGUCCCAGCAGUAAUGCGGCGCUUGGCUGGCCCCUGGCUUCGGUAGACGCUCCUUCCCCAGAAUGCUUCCUUCCAUGCGCAGAGGGGUCUUCCGUCUGUAACCCCUGACCUCUCUCUGCGCCUACGCCCUCUUCUCUUCCCCAGGAAGAUGUGUGACCUAUCUCAUUGGUAAAUUUGGGGAGAUAAAACUGAGGCUGUCUCUGGAAGAGCACAUGCUCUCUGCUCCUCCACGAUUAAACACAGGAGUCCUGAGCUGGAUGGGCAAAUCUACUUGACGCGGUUGGCUUUGAGGCUAUUGGAACCGGAGCUGCAUCUUCUAGACUGACCUCUGCCGAUCCAGGUAUGUCUUUAUCAGCAGCAUGAAAACGGACUAAUAUAAGGGGCAACUCUGGGACCUGGGAAGAAACCAGAAGGUAAGUGGCUUGGAGCAAAGUGGGUCUUCAUGGCUCACUGGAAAACCCUCCCUAGGCUUGGCAUUUCCUUUCUCGUGGCAUUGUCAAAGGGAACAUUCUAUUGACAUCAGAGGAUGAAUUCUGCUUCAAGGAGUGAGAAAGUACAGAGGGUUUAGUCUUCACCCCUCUCAGACGCUUGCCCGUGCUGUGAACCACUGUCGGAGGAAGGAGGAAAAUCUGUGGGUUCAGCCCACAGGGAGCUCAGCUGGUACCCACAGCAGUCUGUAGAGCUCUUCUCAGCUCGUUAUCAAGCCUAAUAUUCCAAUGGCCCACAUUUUAUUCUUUAUAUUCUCAGAUAUAAUUUCCUAUUAAAAAUACAAAUCCCCACAAAA